rnacentral:rRNA from 1 species
AGGAUGAACGCUGGCGGCGUGCUUAACACAUGCAAGUCGAACGAUGAAGGCUGGAGCUUGCUCUGGCUGGAUUAGUGGCGAACGGGUGAGUAACACGUGAGUAACCUGCCCCAGACUCUGGGAUAAGCGCUGGAAACGGCGUCUAAUACCGGAUACGAGCUUCCACCGCAUGGUGAGGAGCUAGGGAAAAGUAUUUCGGUCUGGGAUGGACUCGCGGCCUAUCAGCUUGUUGGUGAGGUAAUGGCCCACAAGGCGACGACGGGUA